CAAACCUGUCCUCACGUUCCGGAUAAUUGGGAGAAAUCCCUUGUAAUACGGGCGAGGGCGCUGAAGAGGCAUCUCUUUAGCAAGGAAGGUAGGAAGCAAUUCCUGCCGCGCGAGGAGGGGUUCGCGGCUUAUCAGCUAGUUGGUGGGGUAACGGCCUACCAAGGCGACGACGAGUAGCUGGUCUGAGAGGAUGGUCAGCCACAUUGGAACUGAGAUACUGUCCAG
rnacentral:rRNA from 1 species